rnacentral:rRNA from 1 species
GAUGAACGCUGGCGGCGUGCCUAAUACAUGCAAGUCGAGCGAACAGACGAGGAGCUUGCUCCUCUGACGUUAGCGGCGGACGGGUGAGUAACACGUGGAUAACCUACCUAUAAGACUGGGAUAACUUCGGGAAACCGGAGCUAAUACCGGAUAAUAUAUUGAACCGCAUGGUUCAAUAGUGAAAGACGGUUUUGCUGUCACUUAUAGAUGGAUCCGCGCCGCAUUAGCUAGUUGGUAAGGUAACGGCUUACCAAGGCAACGAUGCGUAGCCGACCUGAGAGGGUGAUCGGCCACACUGGAACUGAGACACGGUCCAGACUCCUACGGGAAGCAGCAGUAGGGAAUCUUCCGCAAUGGGCGAAAGCCUGACGGAGCAACGCCGCGUGAGUGAUGAAGGUCUUCGGAUCGUAAAACGCUGUUAUUAGGGAAGAACAAAUGUGUAAGUAACUAUGCACGUCUUGACGGUACCUAAUCAGAAAGCCACGGCUAACUACGU